rnacentral:rRNA from 1 species
GACGAACCUGACGAACGUUAUUCGGAAUUACUGGGCUUAAAGGGUGCGUAGGCUGUGCAGAAAGUUGGGUGUGAAAUCCCUCGGCUUAACCGAGGAACUGCGCCCAAAACUACUGUGCUUGAGGGAGAUAGAGGUGAGCGGAACUCAGGGUGGAGCGGUGAAAUGCGUUGAUAUCCUGGGGAACACCUGUGGCGAAAGCGGCUCACUGGGUCUCUUCUGACGCUGAUGCACGAAAGCUAGGGGAG